rnacentral:rRNA from 1 species
GACGAACGCUGGCGGCGUGCCUAAUACAUGCAAGUCGAGCGGACUAAUGGGAGCUUGCUCCCGUUAGUUAGCGGCGGACGGGUGAGUAACACGUGGGCAACCUACCUGUAAGACUGGGAUAACUUCGGGAAACCGGAGCUAAUACCGGAUGACAUAAAGGAACUCCUGUUCCUUUAUUGAAAGAUGGCUUCGGCUAUCACUUACAGAUGGGCCCGCGGCGCAUUAGCUAGUUGGUGAGGUAACGGCUCACCAAGGCGACGAUGCGUAGCCGACCUGAGAGGGUGAUCGGCCACCCUGGGACUGAGAGACGGCCCAGACUCCUACGGGAGGCAGCAGUAGGGAAGCUUCCGCAAUGGACGAAAGUCUGACGGAGCAACGCCGCGUGAGCGAUGAAGGCCUUGGGGUCGUAAAGCUCUGUUGUUAGGGAAGAAUAAGUGCUAGUUGAAUAAGCUGGCACCUUGACGGUACCUAACCAGAAAGCCACGGCUAACUACGUGCCAGCAGCCGCCGUAAAAC